rnacentral:rRNA from 1 species
CCCUUCGGGGGUGAGUACAGCGGCGGACGGGUGAGUAACACGUGAGCGAUCCACCUCGAGGCGGGGGGCAACCCAGGGAAACCUGGGCUAAUACCGCAUACAGCGGCAGGCAUGGAAGCCUGUCGUGAAAGCUGGCCUCUCCAUGGAAGCUAGCGCCUCUGGACGAGCUCGCGGCCUAUCAGCUUGUUGGUGAGGUAACGGCUCACCAAGGCGAUGACGGGUAGCUGGCGUGAGAGCGCGAUCAGCCACACUGGGACUGAGACACGGCCCAGACUCCUACGGGAGGCAGCAGUGGGGAAUCUUGCGCAAUGGGCGAAAGCCUGACGCAGCGACGCCGCGUGGGGGAGGAAGGCCCUAGGGUUGUAAACCCCUGUCAGGUGGGACGAACCGGGGAUCGGCGAAAGCCGGUUUCUCUGACGGUACCACCAGAGGAAGCUCCGGCUAACUCCGUGCCAGCAGCCGCGGUAAAACGGAGGGAGCAAGCGUUGUUCGGAAUUACUGGGCGUAAAGGGCGCGUAGGCGGCCCUGUAAGUCGCAUGUGAAAGGCCGGGGCUCAACCCCGAGUAUUGCAUGCGAUACUGCAAGGCUAGAGACAGGUAGGGGCGAGCGGAAUUCCCGGUGUAGCGGUGGAAUGCGUAGAUAUCGGGAAGAACACCGGUGGCGAAGGCGGCUCGCUUGGCCUGUUCUGACGCUGAAGCGCGAAAGCGUGGGGAGCGAACAGGA